CCCUGUUUGGAUUUUCCUUGACUAGGUAUUUGACCUAGACAAGGAUUCUUCAUAUCUCAUUAUUUAAGAUGAAUUUUUUCUUGAAAUUUUCGUGGAUUAUAGAGCAUUGAGAGACCUUUGGGGUGUGUGAAAAUCAGGGAGAAAGAGUGUUGGAGCGUGGAGAUAUAAUCAACACAAAAUUAAGUAUCUGGGUUAGAGCAAAGAGAAGAAGAAGAGG
rnacentral:lncRNA from 1 species